CUGGUCGGGACACACGGCAGCACGAGUCGAGCGGCGCAUAGACGAGCUCUCUUCCCCGCUCCUCUCUCUCUCGGUUCGCUGUGAGACGCAGAAAUUCCCCACUCCUCCCACCCAAAUCUCAUGGACCAGUUGUGAUUAAGGAAGGGCGCGGCCGGUGGGGAACCGCGGCCGUGAUUGGGUGGGGUCGUCGAGGACCAUGGCGGCGGAGCAGGCCAUGUCUGGGCACCGGAUCGACAGGCUCUCGGCGUCAGAUCUACAAGCACCGGGCGCCAUCCCCGUCGGCGGCCCACACGUUGCCGCUCCAGCACCCGCGGCAGUAGAAGUGGGCGCGCCCGACAGACCUCAUCUCGUCAGGGGUGUCCACGUCGAAGUAGAUGUCGCGGGCGAAGGGCGCGUCGUUGACGGCCAUAGAGACGACGAUGCCAUCUACGGGAAGGCCGACAACGUCGCGCGCGUGCAGCUCGUCCGGGCACCACUGCUCCCAGACGCCUUGGCGCUCCAUUUGAAGUGCCGGAGCAUGGCGUCGUCUUGGACAACAUGAGACAAAAUUUUCAGUGCAAGCGGGCAAAUUGUAUCCACCACUUAGGCAAUUUUCAGGAAAAUACUGGCUUGUGAUUGAUUCUACAACUGAACUGGACUGCAGUUGCUCUACAUCGAGAAUUGUUGGGGCCUCCAUUGUAGGGCCAAGGAAUUGGAUGGAUGGAUGUUGGCUGAACUGAAUUGGAUGGAUGUUGGCUGAAUUGCUCAGCCCGUGUCAAGGAAGCUUCAGACAAAAAGAUUGCUCAGCCCGUGUCAACUGAACUGAAUUGGAUGGAUGUUGGCUACCGGCCGGCUAAUGUAGCAGGAAAGGAAAGUUCAGGCCGAGGUUGCACAUCAUGCAAUGCGCCGAUGAAGAAGCAACAGAUUUUCACUAGUACUCCUAGUAUUAUUGUUGGCCAAUUUACAGGGUGCAACGAUGAGGGAUGCACAAACAAGCUGUGGCCAGUGGGAGAGGCAAGGGGACCUGUUCACUGCUGCAAGAAGGAUGUCGAAGGAACCAAAAGUGGAAGCUAGCAUAGCGACACCAUGUUCGUUUGUCCUCAAGAGGUAAAUGCCAUCUCUUUUUGAAGAACUGAACUAUUUUCACCAUCGUUUGUUUCUGUGUUAUAUAUGAGAUUUUUUGUCAUCGAUAAUGCGUGUUUAUUUAGAAUCUCAAUGCCACCCCCUCGCGUCCACUAUUGCGGUCAAAGGCAAAGUUGCCUAAUAAGAAUCACUAGUUGUCUGCUAUAAGAUGCAAGUUGUCUAAACGACGACCACUUGUUGCCUGGGACAAAGAGACAUGUUGCUUGGGAUGAAAAGCUCCCCACCAGUUAGUUUUUCUGCAGUAUAAAGGCAAAGUUGGUUAAAUGACAACCCGUCUUUUUUUUAAAUGUCUACUAGUUGAAGAGGGUGUGUGUGGUCCUUUUUUGGGCAAAUCGAUGAUUUUGAGCGCAGGGUGGUUUGCGGCCUCGGGAUGCGGGGGGUGGAAUCGUCGGCGAUUUUGGGCCAGAAAUUUUUAAAACUUGCCCAACACAUGAUAGUUAGUUGCUAGAGAUGUUGGCGCGAGUUGCCCAAGAUCCUCCCCCGAGAGUGUUGGGUAUAUUUUUUAGCCAAAACUUGCUCAACACAUGAUGGUUAGUUGCUAGAGAUGUUGGCGCGGGUUGCCCAAGAGCUGCUCUCGGGAAUGUUGGGUUCUAUUUCUGCCCAAAACUUGCCGAACACAUGAUGGUUAGCUACUAGAGAUGUUGUCGCGAGUUGCCCAGAGAUCCGCUCCCAAGAGGGCUAGUUUUUUUGGCCCAAAACUUGCUCAACGCAUAAUAGUUAGUCACUAGAGAUGCUGGCGCGAGUUGCCUAGAGAUCUACUGCCGGGGGUGUUGGGUUCUAUGUUUUGCCCAAAACUUGCUCAGCGAUAUUUUUUAUAAUUUGAGAAACCUAUGAGAAACUGAGAGGACACGAUGGGGGGGGGGGGGGGGGCUCUGAAAAGUGCCAAAACUUGCCUAACUUAUUCUGCUACACAUGCUUUUGGUGUGAGUUGCUCAAGGAUUUUUGUAAAGUGCCUAACUAUUGCGUUUGUAGUUGCCUCAAAAUGAUGCAAACUUGCCCUUUCAUGCAAAGUUAUUACAUAUAGUUGCUACACAUGCUCUUUCGUGUGAGUUGUUGAAGGAAUGUUUGUUAACUGCCUAACUAUUGCGUUUGUAGUUGCCUCAAAAUGAUGCAAACUUGCCCUUUCCUGCAAAGUUAUUACAUAUAGUUGCUACACAUGCUCUUUCAUGUGAGUUGCUGAAGGAAUUUUUGUUAAUUGCCUAACUAUUGUCUUUGUAGUUGCCUCAAAAUGAUGCAAACUUAAUACAGACAAUUGCUACACACGGUGCGAGUUGCCCAAGGAAUUUUUGUAAACUGCCUAACCAUAGCCUUGUAUUUGCCUCAAAAUGAUGCAAACUUUGCAUCUCUCUUCUCGCAUAGUCUUUUUUCAAACUACCCAAAAUGAUCAAACUAUUUCCCCCUUUUUUCCAAGCAAGUUAUUGAAUGAGUCAAGCAACUAACAUAGGGAACACAGGCAACUGAUAUAACAACAUCAUAUGUUUUUUUACAUUUUUACCCCCAAUAGGUGGGUGAAAGCAAGUUAAUUGAAUGAAUUAAGCAACUAACAUAAUGAACACAUGCAACUAAUAUUUUUUUUACUCUUUUUUUCUAGCAGGCCACUUUUACGUGUUGAAGGAACCUAUGUUUUUAAAGCGUCCCUAAGGCGACGCCUAGGCGACGCCUAGGCGACGCCUAGGCGUCGAAGCGCCCCCCUCCGCUUUGGGCGCCUAGGCGUCCAAAGCGCCCGCCUAGGCGUCGCCUAGGCGCCAAAGCGCCCCCCUCCCUAAGGCGGUAAGGCGUCGCCUUAAAAACAUAGGAAGGAACGCUGGAAGAAGGCGUGCCUUUUGUUGGGACAGAUGUGUUUUUCAAGUGUUUUGGGAUGGAAAAAUUCACCAAAAUAAGAUUUUUGAGAUAGCAAUGUGUGUUCUGUUCCAGAAACUAAAAGUAGUAGUAUCAGCAAAUUCAUAUAACUAUUUUUGCUUUUUCUUUGGUCUUAUUCUACCAGCAGUAACAAAACUACUACUGAGUGUUUUUAUGAUUAUUUUUUACCUAGUCCUUACAAUUUUUCCCUUACUAUGUUUGUCUAUGACUAUUUUUUUGCUUCACCAUGGUUUCUUGGGGAACCGAACACCAUUGUAGCUUUCUUUAGAGGAGAAAAGCUACGAAGAAACGUUAGUUUUUUUUGUUUCAUUCAGUUUUUGCAGGACCCACAUACAAAAAUAUCAAAGCCAUGGAAGGCCUAGAGCAGCUACUCUCCAGGUGUAGUGCAAAAAAAAGAUACUAGUUGCCCAGGGACCAGGUGCUUUUUUUCUCUUCGAUGGGUGGUCACACAAGACGAUGGGGUGGAAGAAGAAAGAAGAGGGAGAAGAAGAAGGGCGUGGGGACAGCUUGGGAGAGAAGAAGAAAGGAGAGAGGGGCAAUGCUUUUGGUGAAGCGCGUGAAGGGAGGGAGAGAAGCUGGGUGGACGGAGGGACGUGGGAGACGGUGAACCCUUUCCUUUCCAAAUCUGGACUGAGGGGGUCCAAAACAUACCUAAUAUGGGAGGCUGCCAGGGGGCACUAGCGGGCACAUGUUUGCCCACUAGACGCGUCCAUUUUUUUUCCUUUCUAAUCUAACCAUCACCCCCCUGAUUUUAAAGGGGUGGGGCCGGACCUUAUUUUGUUCCAAUCAAAUCAAGCCACGUAUGCGGGAGCACGGAUGGGCGCACGUGGAGGGAGCAGGCAAGUCUCGUCCCCGUCGCACCGUGUAGCUCCCUCCCCCUCUACAACAUUGCCAAUCUGGGCAGGCUAACGAAUGGGCCACUCCCCGGCUCAGCUUGCCGUUUGCAGGUCAUCUUUAGGUUGGGAGACGACAGACGACACAUCCAGCAGCUUCUGGUGUAAUCGUAGCUCCAUCGGACGAAUGCGAGCCUAGCUAGCCAUCAUGCUAUUUGGGACGACCUCACUUGUCUUCUUGAUCGCUUUUCGCUAGCAUCACUAACUAGUUACUCCACAGUCCACAUGCUACUCGAUCGUACUCCCUCCGUUUGAAAUUACUUGUCACAAAAAUGGAUAUAUCUACAACUAAAAUACAUCUAGAUACAUUUAAAUCUUGGACGGGUAAUUCCAAACGGAGGGAGUAUGAUUUAGUAUUACGUGUUAAUGCCAUCCGUUAAAAUAUAUUGAAUAGACGGCUUAAUUACGUCCA